rnacentral:rRNA from 1 species
AUUGAACGCUGGCGGCAUGCCUUACACAUGCAAGUCGAACGGCAGCACGGGGCAACCUGGUGGCGAGUGGCGAACGGGUGAGUAAUGCAUCGGAACGUACCUUUCAGUGGGGGAGAACGUAGCGAAAGUUACGCUAAUACCGCAUAUUCUGUGAGCAGGAAAGCAGGGGAUCGCAAGACCUUGCGCUGAUUGAGCGGCCGAUGUCAGAUUAGCUAGUUGGUGAGGUAAAGGCUCACCAAGGCGACGAUCUGUAGCGGGUCUGAGAGGAUGAUCCGCCACACUGGGAAUGAGACACGGCCGAGACUCCUACGGGAGGCAGGAGUGGGGAAUUUUGGACAAUGGGGGCAACCCUGAUCCAGCCAUGCCGCGUGAGUGAAGAAGGCCUUCGGGUCGUAAAGCUCUUUCGGCCGGGAAGAAAUCGCACAGGCUAAUACCUUGUGUGGAUGACGGUACCGGAAUAAGAAGCACCGGCUAACUACGUGCCAGCAGCCGCCGUAACAC